rnacentral:lncRNA from 1 species
GCGCAAGAUAAGUCGCGGCCGCGAGCGUGGCGGCUGUAGUAGGAGCGGUGGCGCGAACUUUGGCCUGAGGGAUGAGGUCAGUGAGUGUGGCGGGAGUGAGCUUGGUGAGCUUGGUGAGCUUUUCCAACCUGAACGAUUCUAUGGCCGAGCCUCCACGUGGUCACCAGUUUUACCUCAGGAUAGCGAUGAAGUUCAGGUAAACUAUCCAGGAUUGUCCGAGGUUAUGGAAGACUUGCAAGAAAUGUAUUGAAAGAGCGAUGGCUCAGUACCUGCCCCGCUUCAGAUCUUCUACCUGACUGGCUGGAAAUUUCACAAAUCACAGGUGUUGUAUUAACAAAAGUUAAGAGAAAGCUUCUCUUGGCCUGCCAUAAGAAGAUUAUCCAGCAGGUGGAGUUUCACAGGAUGGUGUGUGCAGGCCAAGUAGACAAGGUAGGCAGAAGCCUUAAUAUUCUGUCAGGGUUUAUCGAGCUAUG